rnacentral:rRNA from 1 species
GACGUAGGAGGCGAGCGUUAUCCGGAUUCACUGGGCGUAAAGCGCAUGUAGGCGGUUGCACAAGUCCGUUGUUAAAGCCCCUGGCUCAACUGGGGGAGGUCAAUGGAGACUGUGCGACUUGAGGGCAGUAGAGGCACGUGGAACUCCCGGUGUAGCGGUGGAAUGCGUAGAGAUCGGGAAGAACACCAGUGGCGAAGGCGACGUGCUGGGCUGCAACUGACGCUGAGAUGCGAAAGCGUGGGGAGCAAACAGG